rnacentral:misc_RNA from 1 species
GUAGGUGAACCUGCGGAAGGAUCAUUAUUGAAAUAAACCUGAUGGGUUGCUGCUGGCUCUCUAGGGAGCAUGUGCACACUUGUCAUCUUUAUAUCUCCACCUGUGCACCUUUUGUAGAUCUGGAUAUCUUUCUGAAUGCCUGGCGUUCAGGUUUGAGGAUUGACUUUUGUCUUUCCUUACAUUUCCAGGCCUAUGUUUUCUUCACAUACACCAUUUAUGUUAUAGAAUGUAAUGAAAUGGGCCUCUGUGC